AUAAUGGAGCACAUUGUUUGCUCUUAGAGGUCUGAGGAGAUCUGUCACAGCAGCUUCAGUGUUUGCUACACAACUCAAGAGGCUACUACCAGCUGACACCAACUUAGGAAAGGCAUUGCAAUGUGUUGCCCAAUCUCUCCCACCCUUUUCACCACGGCCUUCGAAAUCAUACUCAUAAUGGGAGACAAAUAGUCAGUAUGGAGUCAGACCAAUGACUGCCAGCUUUGAGGAGUUACAUGGACACGUGACAACUCUUCUCCAAAGAUCAGCCUGUACCACGCAGAACCUGAAAAAGGCUUGAAGAACUUCUUUUUGCAUGGAGGAUUUGUAGGAACAUCCACCCAGCGCUUGGCAGCCUUUUUCUGCAUUUUCUGUUCAGAUUAUUCGACACUGCUUCACUAAUCUUGAGGUCCGAUCUCUGGGGAGGACAGUUGAUGACUGAUAGUGUUCAUUUGUCCAGGCAUUCAGAGCAGAACAGAGGGAUAUGGGUCACAGCGAAGUGAUCCCAGAAUCCCACUGCCUGCUUUCCACCCUCUCUUCCUGCCCCCCCCAACGCCCCACCAUCCGUUCUGGCACCAUCACAUUAACUGGAAAGACUUGUAGAUCCUGGCAGGCCUGGCAACUGGAGAGAGGCCACUGCACCACCCUCUCAGCACUGCUCCAAGUCGGUUUUCACCAAGACCAAAUGGAGGAAUCUGGAGAGUUCAGCUGUGCCAUGAAAGAAUAGCCUUCUGGGAACAUGUCUGGGAAAAUAGAAGGAGGCAAGGAUUCAGAGUAAGGCAGAGGAAUUGCAGAAGGGAUGCCAGGAUUUUCUUCACCAGCAGAACCAGGAGAGCCAAAGUGUGGAGUGCCAAGCCAAACGGAGGGAAGCCAGCUUAGAAAUAUAGAAAAGGAGAUGAUGGGAAUGGUAAGAAGCUGAAAAGAUUCAGUGAGAGCACUGCUGCGGAGGAUAGACACCAUCCAGAUGGUCAGCUCAGUUGCUUACAAUAAAUUAUUUAUCAACUUCUUUCAUUUAAUGACGCCCAAAGCAUAAAACUUGGUCUUUACUUAGUAUUCAUGGUUCAAACAUGAAGUAUGAGUAUUCCUAUGAAUACUUGUUUUGUGACAAUUGCAU
ensembl:lncRNA